GGAAGGAGAAGAGAAGUAUUUGAAGGGCGCAGAUGGAUUUUGCAGCUGGGGAAGGGAACAUUAGCAUUAGCGAAAUGUCUGUGGUGGAGCCCAGGUUUCCUUCACACAAAGGUCACAUCCCUUCACUGUGAAGAGAAUCAUGUUGAAGGGGAGUAACAUUGAAGAGAAAAAAGCAGACAUAUGACCAGCGAAGCUUGGAAAUCUUGCCACGGUGGAUUGUUUUAAGGUUUAAAAGUAGUUAACCACACAAUGAGGCCAUGAAGAUAGAUGUUCAAACCCCGUUACAGUAUGUUCCAUGGAAGACUUGGGAAACUGCAGUGCCUGAAGACGGCAAGCAUGCUGCCAUUGGCUCAAGUCAAUACAAUAAGAGGACACCAGAGAUUUAACCCAGAACUGCAAAUCAGGCUCCUGGCCAUUGCAAAUGCAAGGACAAUAUUGUCUGCAGAGCUAGCAAGGGCAUCUCAUGCUCCUGAGGGAUUUGUCUACAGAACGACCUGUGUAUGUAGACAUUCUGAGAUAUUUUGAGCAUCGGAGAUGGCAUUGAUGAAAUGCAAGCAACUAUUUCAAGAUAUGUUUAAAUGAAUGAGAAGUCACCCGUGGUAGUUGUACUAUAAAUAGAAGAUUUGUAUCCUCUGAAAUAUGAGUUUAUCACAAAAGAAGCAAGUAAACUUCAUGGGAAUUCA
rnacentral:lncRNA from 1 species